UGGGGAAUUUUGGACAAUGGGGGAAACCCUGAUCCAGCCAUCCCGCGUGUGCGAUGAAGGCCUUCGGGUUGUAAAGCACUUUUGGCAGGAAAGAAACGUCAUGGGUUAAUACCCCGUGAAACUGACGGUACCUGCAGAAUAAGCACCGGCUAACUACGUGCCAGCAGCCGCGGUAAUACGUAGGGUGCAAGCGUUAAUCGGAAUUACUGGGUGUAAAGCGUGCGCAGGCGGUUCGGAAAGAAAGAAGUGAAAUCACAGAGCUCAACUUUGGAACUGCAUUUAUAACUACCGGGCUAGGGUGUGUCAGAGGGAGGUGGAAUUCCGCGUGUAGCAGUGAAAUGCGUAGAUAUGCGGAGGAACACCGAUGGCGAAGGCAGCCUCCUGGGAUAACACUGACGCUCAUGCACGAAAGCGUGGGGAGCAAACAGG
rnacentral:rRNA from 1 species